rnacentral:tRNA from 1 species
UCCCUGGUGGUCCAGCGGUUAGGACACCACCUUUUCACUGCCGAGGGCCAGGGUUCAAUCCCUGGUUAGGGAA